rnacentral:lncRNA from 1 species
AUCUUCUAAUUCUUACAUAGCCUCCUCUAGGGUGUGAUGCUACCAUUAAACCUUCACCAUCGGGUUCCUCUUAUUGUGUAACACCUUGUUAGUCUAUCCUAGUAUCUCUGUUAGGUACUCUACGUAAGCCAAGUUAGAGCUAACAAGAGUUUUUUGAAUUGGAACAAUUUAAUUAGGGUUAGGGUGGUACCUUUUUAACAUGGAGACAUAGAAGACGUCAUGG